UCCUGGCUCAGGAUGAACGCUAGCUACAGGCUUAACACAUGCAAGUCGAGGGCAGCAUGGGGUAGCAAUACUCAGAUGGCGACCGGCGCACGGGUGAGUAACACGUAUCCAACCUGCCGCUUACUCGGGGAUAGCCUUUCGAAAGAAAGAUUAAUACCCGAUGGUAUAAAGAGUUCGCAUGUUCUCUUUAUUAAAGAAUUUCGGUAAGCGAUGGGGAUGCGUUCCAUUAGAUUGUUGGCGGGGUAACGGCCCACCAAGUCUACGAUGGAUAGGGGUUCUGAGAGGAAGGUCCCCCACAUUGGAACUGAGACACGGUCCAAACUCCUACGGGAGGCAGCAGUGAGGAAUAUUGGUCAAUGGACGAGAGUCUGAACCAGCCAAGUAGCGUGAAGGAUGACUGCCCUAUGGGUUGUAAACUUCUUUUAUAAGGGAAUAAAGUGAGGGACGUGUCCCUUUUUGUAUGUACCUUAUGAAUAAGGAUCGGCUAACUCCGUGCCAGCAGCCGC
rnacentral:rRNA from 1 species